rnacentral:rRNA from 1 species
ACGGGGGGAGGAAAGUAGGGGAUCGCAAGACCUUUCGCUUUCGGAGUGGCCGAUAUCAGAUUAGCUAGUUGGUGGGGUAAAGGCUCACCAAGGCGACGAUCUGUAGCGGGUCUGAGAGGAUGAUCCGCCACACUGGGACUGAGACACGGCCCAGACUCCUACGGGAGGCAGCAGUGGGGAAUUUUGGACAAUGGGCGAAAGCCUGAUCCAGCCAUGCCGCGUGAGUGAAGAAGGCCUUCGGGUUGUAAAGCUCUUUCAGCCGGAAAGAAAUCGUGCAGGCUAAUAUCCUGCAUGGAUGACGGUACCGGAAGAAGAAGCACCGGCUAACUACGUGCCAGCAGCCGCGGUAAUACGUAGGGUGCGAGCGUUAAUCGGAAUUACUGGGCGUAAAGCGUGCGCAGGCGGUUUUGUAAGACAGGCGUGAAAUCCCCGGGCUUAACCUGGGAACUGCGUUUGAAACUACAAAGCUAG